GCGAAUCCCGGAGGUGGGGAUUCCUAUGUCCAUGGAAAGAAAAAUCUCUGUGACGUGAGAAAGACAAAGGAAGAAGAUGAUCUCCUAUUGGGCUAGAAUAGGAAAGUGCUUAAUGGGCCAGCUCUUAUUUCCAUUUAAAAGUAAUUCCUUUCCUAUUUUUAAAACUAGGAAACUAAAACGAUAAAAAGAAAAUCAAAUCAAUUUGAAAUAAAGAGUUUCUAUAU
rnacentral:lncRNA from 1 species